AGAGUUUGAUCCUGGCUCAGGACGAACGCUGGCGGCGUGCCUAAUACAUGCAAGUCGAGCGAAGAGUAUGGAGUGCUUGCACACUAUGCACUUAGCGGCGGACGGGUGAGUAACACGUAGGUAACCUACCCAUAAGACAGGGAUAACCCACGGAAACGUGAGCUAAAACCAGAUAGGCAUCAUCCUCGCAUGAGGGAGAU
rnacentral:rRNA from 1 species